CGUGACGCAUGCGCAGCUCCUCUCUUUUCCGAGAUCCGGACACGGUCGUGAUUGUCGGGGCUCCUCGUCCGUCGUCACCAUGGUGAAGCUGAGCAAAGAAGCUAAACAGAGGUUGCAGCAGCUCUUCAAGGGCGGCCAGUUUGCCAUCCGCUGGGGCUUUAUUCCCCUCGUGAUUUACCUGGGAUUUACGAGGGGUGCAGACCCUGGAAUGCCUGAACCAUCAGUUUUAAGCCUACUUUGGGGAUAAAGGACUGUUCGGUCAUCUGGAUUUGGACGCAAUCCAGCAUAGAAGGUGUGUACUCCAGCUGGAUACGAAACGAGACAUCAUUUCAACACAUCUGAGGCAGAGUGGAGCCUAUACUCACUUAUGAUAAACUAUCAAAAUAAAUAUUUUUAACAGUG